AUAUCUGGCAGGGGAGAUAACAUGAUCGCAAAGGUGGUUUUCCCAGGGUGAGGCUUAUCCAUUGCACUUAAGAUGUGCUGACCCCUUCAAUUUCCCCAAAUGUGGAAAACUCAACUUCAUAAUUUGUGNNNNNN
rnacentral:snRNA from 1 species